rnacentral:rRNA from 1 species
AACGAACGCUGGCGGCAUGCCUGACACAUGCAAGUCGAACGAGAUCUUCGGGUCUAGUGGCGCACGGGUGCGUAACGCGUGGGAAUCUGCCCUUUGGUUCGGAAUAACAGUUGGAAACGACUGCUAAUACCGGAUGAUGACGAAAGUCCAAAGAUUUAUCGCCAGAGGAUGAGCCCGCGUAGGAUUAGCUAGUUGGUGUGAUAAAGGCGCACCAAGGCGACGAUCCUUAGCUGGUCUGAGAGGAUGAUCAGCCACACUGGGACUGAGACACGGCCCAGACUCCUACGGGAGGCAGCAGUGGGGAAUAUUGGACAAUGGGCGAAAACCUGAUCCAGCAAUGCCGCGUGAGUGAUGAAGGCCUUAGGGUUGUAAAGCUCUUUUACCCGGGAUGAUAAUGACAGUACUGGGAGAAUAAGCUCCGGCUAACUCCGUGCCAGCCGCCGCCGUAA